GGGGGGCAUAUGUCAAAAGAGAUGUUCACCCGAUACAAUCUUCCUAUACUGAAAUUUGUAUUUUCCUGCUUGUAGUACUGCAAGAAAGUUCUACAAGUCUCAAGAUACAAGACAUGCAU
rfam:Musa acuminata subsp. malaccensis Doubled-haploid Pahang (DH-Pahang) genomic chromosome, chr1